rnacentral:rRNA from 1 species
GAUGAACGCUGGCGGCGUGCCUAAUACAUGCAAGUCGAGCGAACGGACGCGAAGCUUGCUUUUCUGAUGUUAGCGGCGGACGGGUGAGUAACACGUGGAUAACCUACCUAUAAGACUGGGAUAACUUCGGGAAACCGGCGCUAAUACCGGAUAAUAUUUUGAACCGCAUGGUUCAAAAGUGAAAGACGGUCUUGCUGUCACUUAUAGAUGGAUCCGCGCUGCAUUAGCUAGUUGGUAAGGUAACGGCUUACCAAGGCAACGAUGCAUAGCCGACCUGUGAGGGGGAUCGGCCACACUGGAACUUAGACACGGUCCAUACGCCUACGGGAGGCAGCAGUAGGGAAUCUUCCGCAAUGGGCGGAAGCCUGACGGAGCGACGCCGCGUGAGUGAUGAAGGUCUUCGGAGCGUAAAACUCUGCUAUUAGGGAAGAACAUAUGUGUAAGUAACUGUGCACAUCUUGACGGUACCUAAUCAGAAAGCCACGGCUAACUACGUG